GCGAGGUAGAGCAAAUCUCAAAAAAACAAUCUCAGUUCAGACUGCAGGCUGCAACUCGCCUGCACGAAGUCGGAAUUGCUAGUAAUCGUAGGUCAGCAUACUACGGUGAUUACGUUCCCGGGCCUUGUACACACCGCCCGUCAAACCAUGAGAGUUGGCAACACCCGAAGUCGGUAGUCUAACCGCAAGGAGGACGCCGCCGAAGGUGGGGUUGAUGAUUAGGGUUAAGUCGUAACAAGGUAUC
rnacentral:rRNA from 1 species